rnacentral:rRNA from 1 species
UAGCUCACUGGUCGAGUCGGCCUGCGCGGAAGAUGUAACGGGGCUAAACCAUGCACCGAAGCUGCGGCAGCGACGCUGAUGCGUUGUUGGGUAGGGGAGCGUUCUGUAAGCCUGUGAAGGUGUGCUGUGAGGCAUGCUGGAGGUAUCAGAAGUGCGAAUGCUGACAUAAGUAACGAUAAAGCGGGUGAAAAGCCCGCUCGCCGGAAGACCAAGGGUUCCUGUCCAACGUUAAUCGGGGCAGGGUGAGUCGACCCCUAAGGCGAGGCCGAAAGGCGUAGUCGAUGGGAAACAGGUUAAUAUUCCUGUACUUGGUGUUACUGCGAAGGGGGGACGGAGAAGGCUAUGUUGGCCGGGCGACGGUUGUCCCGGUUUAAGCGUGUAGGCUGGUUUUCCAGGCAAAUCCGGAAAAUCAAGGCUGAGGCGUGAUGACGAGGCACUACGGUGCUGAAGCAACAAAUGCCCUGCUUCCAGGAAAAGCCUCUAAGCAUCAGGUAACAUCAAAUCGUACCCCAAACCGACACAGGUGGUCAGGUAGAGAAUACCAAGGCGCUUGAGAGAACUCGGGUGAAGGAACUAGGCAAAAUGGUGCCGUAACUUCGGGAGAAGGCACGCUGAUAUGUAGGUGAAGUCCCUCGCGGAUGGAGCUGAAAUCAGUCGAAGAUACCAGCUGGCUGCAACUGUUUAUUAAAAACACAGCACUGUGCAAACACGAAAGUGGACGUAUACGGUGUGACGCCUGCCCGGUGCCGGAAGGUUAAUUGAUGGGGUUAGCG